GAAAUGCGAUACGUAAUGCGAAUUGCAUCACCAGCGAGUCAUCAAAACUUUGAACGCAACUUGCACUUCCAGUAAUGGGAGUAUGUCUGUUGGAGUGUCUGUGCACAUCUCCCCACGAGAUCUUCUUCGGAAGAACUCCUGUCCGCCUUUUGACUGGUUGUAAUAUACCUUGGUAUGAAAGAGCGUAGAUUGAGCAACGUCGAUUGACAAGAACGGAGCAGCUGGAAUUUUCCCAGUAGAAUAAGCUUUCUCUUGCAACUGUCGUAAGACAAGUCGUAGAGUAACAAAGAAGCUUAGGAUACUUGGUGUAAAAGGAAAGUUGUCUUAUACCAAACGUUUUUAUUCUCGUCGGACCUCCAAUCAGACAAGAUUACCCGCUGAAUUUAA
rnacentral:misc_RNA from 1 species